ACUGUGAAGCUCGGACGCCAGUUCGGGUGGAGUCGUCGUUGAAAUACCAGUCUGGUCGUGCUGGAUGUCUAACCUGGGUCCGUGAUCCGGAUCAGGGACAGUGUCUGAUGGGUAGUUUAACUGGGGCGGUUGCCUCCCAAAGGGUAACGGAGGCGCCCAAAGGUUCCCUCAGCCUGGUUGGCAAUCAGGUGGUGAGUGUAAGUGCACAAGGGAGCUUGACUGUGAGACCGACGGGUCGAGCAGGGACGAAAGUCGGGACUAGUGAUCCGGCGGUGGCUUGUGGAAGCGCCGUCGCUCAACGGAUAAAAGGUACCCCGGGGAUAACAGGCUGAUCUUCCCCAAGAGUCCAUAUCGACGGGAUGGUUUGGCACCUCGAUGUCGGCUCGUCGCAUCCUGGGGCUGGAGUCGGUCCCAAGGGUUGGGCUGUUCGCCCAUUAAAGCGGUACGCGAGCUGGGUUUAGAACGUCGUGAGACAGUUCGGUCCCUAUCCGCUGCGCGCGCAGGAAUAUUGAGAAGGGCUGUCCCUAGUACGAGAGGACCGGGACGGACGAACCUCUGGUGUGCCAGUUGUUCUGCCAAGGGCAUGGCUGGUUGGCUACGUUCGGGAGGGAUAACCGCUGAAAGCAUCUAAGCGGGAAGCCUGCUUCGAGAUGAGUAUUCCCACCCACUUGAUGGGGUAAGGCUCCCAGUAGACGACUGGGUUGAUAGGCCAGAUAUGGAAGCCCAGUAAUGGGUGGAGUUGACUGGUACUAAUAGGCCGAGGGCUUGUCCUC
rnacentral:rRNA from 1 species